rnacentral:rRNA from 1 species
UUUUAAAUGAAGACCUGUAUGAAUGGCAUAACGAGGGCUUAACUGUCUCCUCUUUCCAGUCAAUGAAGUUGAUCUUCCCGUGCAGAAGCGGGAAUACAAACAUAAGACGAGAAGACCCUAUGAAGCUUUAGACAACAAGGCAGAUCAUGUUAAUAACCCUGAAUAUCAGAUUUAAACCAAGUGAAGCCUGCCCGAAUGUC